CAUCAGUUUAGUCAUCUCAUUGUUAACAGAUUUUAACAAAUAACACAAGUUUAUUUGACCUUAAGUAAAAACUCUGAAGUUUCACGUUUACUACUGUUAACUCAAAAGAUAUGUUCAUCCUAAUUAACCCAACAAACCUAACUUAGUUCAAAUACUGAUUUACGUUCCACCUGGGCCCACUCCGCUUCGAAUGUUUAUCUGAAACCCGGGUGGGAAGAUCUGGAGUUGGGGGUGUUAGGUCCAGGGGGUGCUCUUCUUGCUCCCUGACAGGAGAGAGAGGAGCCAGGAUG